GACGAACGCUGGCGGCGUGCUUAACACAUGCAAGUCGAACGGAAAGGCCCUGCUUUUGUGGGGUGCUCGAGUGGCGAACGGGUGAGUAACACGUGAGUAACCUGCCCUUGACUUUGGGAUAACUUCAGGAAACUGGGGCUAAUACCGGAUAGGAGCUCCUGCUGCAUGGUGGGGGUUGGAAAGUUUCGGCGGUUGGGGAUGGACUCGCGGCUUAUCAGCUUGUUGGUGGGGUAGUGGCUUACCAAGGCUUUGACGGGUAGCCGGCCCGGGAGGGUGACCGGCCACAUUGGGACUGGGGUACGGCCCAGACUCCUACGGGAGGCAGCGGUGGGGAAUAUUGCGCGAUGGGCGGAAGCCUGAUGCAGCAGCGCCGCGUGCGGGAUGACGGCCUUCGGGUUGUAAACCGCUUUCGCCUGUGACGAAGCGUGAGUGACGGUAAUGGGUAAAGAAGCACCGGCUAACUACGUG
rnacentral:rRNA from 1 species